CCCCCCCCCCCCCCCAGCCCGGGCGCCAGCCAGCCCUGACGACCUCGACCCAGGCGCCCCCAAGCCCAGCACCCCAACUCCGGCAGCCCCAAAACCCGGCGACCCGAAGCCCUGCGCCCCCAAUCCCGGAGAAGCGCCCGCGCUGGCGACUUGUUCUGCACCCCGACCCCAUUUCCGGCGUCGCCCUCCACAGCCUCAUCAACGCGCAGGCCGUUCACCUCCGCCAUCGAUGUCCAUUCACCGCUGCCCCUAGGCCGUUCACCUCCGCCACCCCAGGCCGUUCUCCUCCGCCACGUAUGUACGUUCACCGCCGCCCCAAGAAUCCCCGUCGAGCCUCGUCCGCAACCCCGACCCUCUUUGCGGCCACCCAGGUCCACAUUGUGGGGCCAUCGUGUUCUCUUCACCGCCACUCAGGUCCGACGAGCCGCCGCAGGCAGGAUCCUCUACGUGCUAGCCUCGGUGCUGGCCCUACACGAUGGCAUGGCACCGUUCACUGCUGCCACCAUGGGCCGUUCAAUGACACAACAUCGAGUCGUUCGACACCGCAGCUCAGGAGUUUGCCUCCUUUCCCAACCUCCACUAUGCUCCAGCUAAGAAUAAAAAUAUGAUGUAUGCAUUGCUUCUUGGCCCAGCCGAGAGAACACUCGUGUUAAAAAGUAUAAAGCAGUUUUGAAGCAAUUCUCAGUGUCUUUAGAAGCAUUCAUGGUUAAAAAGCAACGACAACCUCCGUUCGAGUUGAGAAAUGGUCAUCGUCCAAGUUGAGCAGUAGGUGUCGUCCAAGUUCAAAGAGGGUUGUAUGCAAGUACAAAAGUUUGUUUCAGUGAGAAAAAAUGCGGGGUUUUGACAAUAUUCUGUAUGAUUCAUUUGUUCAUCCUUAGAACUUGGCAAAAUUCGGUCUAUUUUUCUAUGAUGGAGGCACACAUGAAGUCCUGUGCAAUGGUUA